GACGAACGCUGGCGGCGUGCCUAAUACAUGCAAGUCGAGCGAGACUCUUCGGAGUCUAGCGGCGGACGGGUGAGUAACACGUGGGCAACCUGCCUGUAAGACUGGGAUAACACCGGGAAACCGGUGCUAAUACCGGAUAAUCCUUUUCCUCUCAUGAGGAAGAGCUGAAAGUCGGUUUCGGCUGACACUUACAGAUGGGCCCGCGGCGCAUUAGCUAGUAGGUGAGGUAACGGCUCACCAAGGCGACGAUGCGUAGCCGACCUGAGAGGGUGAUCGGCCACACUGGGACUGAGACACGGCCCAGACUCCUACGGGAGGCAGCAGUAGGGAAUCUUCCACAAUGGACGAAAGUCUGAUGGAGCAACGCCGCGUGAGCGAUGAAGGCCUUCGGGUCGUAAAGCUCUGUUGUUAGGGAAGAACAAGUACCGGAGUAACUGCCGGUACCUUGACGGUACCUAACCAGAAAGCCACGGCUAACUACGUGCCAGCCGCCGCCGUAA
rnacentral:rRNA from 1 species